AUUGAACGCUGGCGGCAGGCCUAACACAUGCAAGUCGAACGAGUGGCGGACGGGUGAGUAAUGCUUGGGAAUCUGGCCUAUGGAGGGGGAUAACUACGGGAAACGGUAGCUAAUACCGCAUACCAUAGGAUGAGCCCAGAUGGGAUUAGGUAGUUGGUGGGGUAAAGGCUCACCUAGGCGACGAUCCCUAGCUGGUCUGAGAGGAUGACCAGCCACAAUGGGACUGAGACACGGCCCAGACUCCUACGGGAGGCAGCAGUGGGGAAUAUUGCGCAAUGGGGGCAAGCCUGAUGCAGCCAUGCCGCGUGUAUGAAGAAGGCCUUCGGGUUGUAAAGUUCUUUCGGUAGCGAGGCGUUAACCACAGAAGAAGCACCGGCUAACUCCGUGCCAGCAGCCGCGGUAAUUC
rnacentral:rRNA from 1 species